UACGGAGGGUGCAAGCAUUGAUCGGAUUGACUGGGCGUAAAGGGCGCGUAGGCUGUAUGAAAAGUCUGAUGUGAAAUUCCGGGGCUCAACCCCGGAACUGCAUUUGAAACUUUCAAACUAGAGGUUGGUAAGGGAAAACAGAAUUCCACGUGUAGCGGUGAAAUGCGUAGAUAUGUGGAAGAAUACCGGUGGUGAAGACGGUUUUCUGUGCCAAACCUGACGCUGAGGCGCGAAAGCUAGGGGAGCAAACAGG
rnacentral:rRNA from 1 species